rnacentral:rRNA from 1 species
AUUGAACGCUGGCGGCAGGCCUAACACAUGCAAGUCGAGCGGAGCGACGGACGGGUGGGUGAUGACUAGGAAGCUGCCUGGUAGUGGGGGAUAACGUACGGCAGGGGGCGCUAAUAACUCAUACUAGCAAACGAGCCUAGGUCGGAUUAGCUAGUUGGUGGGGUAAAGGCCUACCAAGGCGACGAUCCGUAACUGGUCUGAGAGGAUGAUCAGUCACACUGGAACUGAGACACGGUCCAGACUCCUACGGGAGGCAGCAGUGGGGAAUAUUGGACAAUGGGCGAAAGCCUGAUCCAGCCAUGCCGCGUGUGUGAAGAAGGUCUUCGGAUUGUAAAGUACUUUAAGUUGGGAGGCGUUACCAACAGAAUAAGCACCGGCUAACUUCGUGCCAGCAGCCGCGGUAAUAC